CACGUAGGGGGCGAGCGUUGUCCGGAUUCAUUGGGCGUAAAGGGCGCGCAGGCGGCCCGGAAAGUCGGAUGUGAAAACUCGAGGCUCAACCUCGAGCGUGCACCCGAUACUGCCGGGCUUGAGGCAGGUAGGGGAGAUCGGAAUUCCUGGUGUAGCGGUGAAAUGCGCAGAUAUCAGGAGGAACACCGGUGGCGAAGGCGGAUCUCUGGGCCUGUCCUGACGUGAGGCGCGAAAGCUAGGGGAGCGAACAGG
rnacentral:rRNA from 1 species